AACCCAUGGUGAGGGCACCUUCUCAAUAAGUCCUUGUAUCUCUCCCAUGCAUCGUAAAGUGUUUCUAAAUCCAUUUGCAGAAAAGAAGAGAUAUCAUUAUGUAAUU
rnacentral:snoRNA from 1 species